UAGUCUUUUAUCUGUAGAUGUAAAACUUCUGUCCAAUUUAUUAGCUCUGCGACUGGAAUCAGUUUUGCCUUUGAUAAUCUCCCCUGAGCAGACAGGUUUUGUCCAGAACAGGCAUAGGUUCUUUAAUCUCAGACGACUUCUCAAUGUUGUUUAUAAUCCGUUUACGUCAGUGGGGCAAGAAGCCGUAAUCUCAUUAGACGCGGAGAAGGCUUUUGACAAGGUGGAGUGGAACUACCUUUUUUACGCUUUGGAGAAAUUUGGUUUAGGCCAGGAGUUAAUUUCUUGGAUUAAGUUGCUUUAUUCAUCCCCUGUGGCUUCAGUCAGAACUAAUGACACCCAUUCAGAUUAUUUCCCUCCACUCGUUAGGGCUGUCCUCUGAGUCCUCUUUUAUUUGCUGUCGCUAUUGAACCUUUGGCUAUUGCGCUUCAUUCAGAACCACACAUCACUGGAAUAAUAAGAUAUGGGGCCCUAUUUUAACGAUCUAAGCGCAUUGUCUAAAGCGCACAGCGCAACGUCUAAAUGGGCGUGUCCGAAUCCACUUUUGCUAGUUUAACGACGGGAAAAAUGGUUUGAGCGCCGAGCGCAUGGUCGAAAAGGGUAGGUCCUAUUUUUUUUAAUGAGUGAUGAGUAUUUUGGGCGUAACGUGCAAUAAACCAAUGACAGUCUCAGCUCUCAUCCCCUUUAAAAGCCAGUUGCGCUGGCGCUAUGUCUAAUCCCUAUUUUAAUGACUGACUUUGUAAACUGAAAAACUAAGCGGAGGAAGAAGACCCCCAGUUUAAGAUUAAUUUUAAAUAAUUGUGUUAUUUUUCACUUGAAAUUGUUAUUUUUUUAUUAAAACCUUUAAACCCCGUUUUCUUUUAGUCAUGGAAGUAAAAAAGCAGUCUUUUAAUUGCUUUAAAGAGCACCAAUUAUGCUAAUAAAUUGGCACGUUAGCACGUUAUUGCAAUAUCCCAUAGUACAUACAUGUUAUUAAAACUUGAACUAAUGCAUUGUGAGUCUUAUAAAUUGCUUACAUACCUCACCGAUUUCCCACUGUCUGGAAAACGCUCGGUUUAGUUCCUGUCUCCGCCUCCCAAAAUGUCUAGUGUAAUCGGAUUGGUCAGAUGACUACUCAACUGUUAUUGGUCAGCUGGGUUCGGCGUGUGUUUGAAAGGUUACGCCCCUGACUACGCGUGGGUUGACACAGAUUCUGACUGAGAGUCACAGCCUCAGAGGCAACGUAAACAAGCGUUAUAUUUCUCUAUAAACGAUGGUGUCUGUACUGCCUUACCACUUCGAGCUGGAUCCAGAGAGUUCAGAAGGCCGUUACGAUAUAAACGAUCUCCGUCAAUGAAUGCGAUUGGAUUUAACUUUUUUAGGUGUCCUUAGCUCUGCCAGAAUGCUAAACGAAGACGAAAAUGUGUUGCAAAGACAUCCAAAAGGUUUUAAGGAGAAUGCAACAGGUUCCAGGGCCUCUUACCUGCGUGAUUCAUCAUCCAGGUUUUGCACAAAUUGUCUAAAUCCCUACACACAGAACAUUUAUUGUACCGACUAUAAGCCUUUGAGGCGCAGGACUAGAAUAUGCUUGGAGCUUCCUGAUCGGAAUGUUGGCUUCCGACGACCCCUGCACUGAAGAUGGCAUGCAAUCACGUCCUCCUUUGAAGGUCUCUCAAACUGUGAUGCCAGGUCCAUUGGAAUCGGGGUUUCCUUCAGCUUAUCUUCAAAUACCUCAGCAAACACAAGCCUGAUCACAUCAUCCACAUAACUGUAGAAAUAUUGCAGUCAAUAAAUCUUUUGUUUUGAUAAUUUAUU